UCCUACGGGGCGCAGCAGUGAGGAAUAUUGGUCAAUGGCCGGAAGGCUGAACCAGCCAAGCCGCGUGAAGGACGAAGGUGCCAAGCAUUGUAAACUUCUUUUGUCAAGGGACAAAAUCAGGCUCGAGAGCCUGACCGAGGGUACUUGAAGAAAAAGCAUCGGCUAACUCCGUGCCAGCAGCCGCGGUAAUACGUAGGUGGCAAGCGUUAUCCGGAUUUACUGGGUGUAAAGGGCGUGCAGGCGGGAGUGCAAGUCAGAUGUGAAAACUAUGGGCUCAACCC
rnacentral:rRNA from 1 species